rnacentral:rRNA from 1 species
UCAAAUUAAAAGAAACCAACAGGGAUUGCCCUAGAAACGGCGAGUGAAGCGGCAACAGCUCAAAUUUGAAAUCUGGCUUCGGCGCGAGUUGUAAUUUGUAGAGCAUGCUUUGGGCGCGGCUCUAACUGAGUUCCCUGGUACGGGACGCCACAGAGGGUGAGAGCCCCGUAUAGUUAGAUGCCUAGCCUAUGUAAAGCUCCUACGACGAGUCGAGUAGUUUGGGAUUGCUGCUCUAAAUGGGAGGUAAAUUUCUUCUAAAGCUAAAUAUUGGCGAGAGAGCGAUAGCGCACAAGUAGAGUGAUCGAAAGAUGAAAAGCACUUUGAAAAGUGGGUUAAAUAGCACGUGAAAUUGUUGUAAGGGAAGCGCUUGUGACCAGACUUGCGCCGGGCAGAUCAUCCGGUGUUCUCACCGGUGCACUCUGCCCGCCUCAGGCCAGCAUCGGUUCUCGUGGGGGGAUAAAGGUCCCGGGAACGUAGCUCCUCCGGGUGUGUUAUAGCCCGGGGCGUAAUGCCCUCGUGGGGACCGAGGUACGCGCAUCUGCAAGGAUGCUGGCGUAAUGGUCAUCAGCGACCGGUCUUGAAACACGGACCUAGGAGUCAAGGUUUUGCGCGAGUGUUUGGGUGUAAAACCCCCACGCGUAAUGAAAGUGAACGUAGGUGAGAGCUUCGGCGCAUCAUCGACCGAUCCUGAUGUAUUCGGAUGGAUUUGAGUAAGAGCGUUAAGCCUUGGACCCGAAAGAUGGUGAACUAUGCUUGGAUAGGGUGAAGCCAGAGGAAACUCUGGUGGAGGCUCGCAGCGGUUCUGACGUCCAAAUCGAUCGUCUAAUCUGAGCAUGCCGGGCGUA